GCCUUCUUGGCUCAGAUGGCAGAGCGUCUGCCUAGUAAGCAGAAGGUCGUCAGUUCGAUUCUGGCAGAAGGCA